rnacentral:rRNA from 1 species
AUGUUGCAUAUCAAACCAGAGUGGGAUAGAGAAGUGGAAAUUGAAAUCAUAGAAGACGAGGAAGCUCUCAACCCUGAUCCAUAUGAUUUCGUCUACAGCAACAUACCAACAAGCACAAACGUGCUCGAAGAAGAAGAAGAUUGCAAAUUAUGCCAUGCAACCAAAUUCAAGUAUGAAACUGAAGGAUUAUGCUGCAAAAAAGGACAAAUAAGACUAGCCAAUCCAGAUACGCCUCCUGAGCUAAUGAGACUUUGGACAAGCAACGACCCUGAUGCAAGACAUUUUCGCAAAAACAUAAGAUUUUUCAAUGGACACUUCUCGUUUACUACUCUAUACUGUCACCUCGACAGAGACACGAGUGACAUGCGAACGGCCGGUAUUUACACCUUUUGA